AUGCACCAACCAUCCUCAUCUGUUCAGGUCCUUGCUGCCUUCCAAGGAAUUUAUUCAGUCUGCACAAGCUGCUGGCUGCUCUGCUUGGCCGGGCCUGUGGUCAUCCACCCUGAGCGCUGGACACCCUCCAUUUCCUGCCAGGUGUUUCUGCCGCAGCUUCCUGAGGUGGUGCUGCACUUGCCCAGGGGGCCGCUUCCAACAUUCCCAAGGCUGCAGACUCUCUAGGAGCCCAAAGAGCCUUCUGCUCCCUCCAGACCUCCCAGCGCCAGUCUGUCUAUUUGCACAUGAAUUGGGGGAAAUGUUCCCCCUCCCUAAGGUUGAUCUCAGCCCCUGGAGCUGGGGUGAGCACCAAUACUAGGCUCUCUGCUUCCUUGCCCUGCUUUCACUUAGGAAUUCGCCUCGUUCAUUGCUUGCUCCUAGAACCUUCAAAAUGUUCCCCUUGAAGACACUUUUCCCCUUCUAAAUCACUCAGGCGGAUAAUUUGGAGGGAAAAAAAUGAGUCUUCUCUGACCCCACAUCUAUGCAAAUAGCUUAGAUCCGGCCAUACGUAUUUACUUGUACGUGAAUAUGUGAAAAUAUAUGAAUGUAUAUUUGAAAGUGUAAAACCAUAGUUACAAAUAUAGGCAUAUGAGUGAACAAACAGUUCAAAAAGGGACUCAAACACUAAGGGCUGUGCCCACUUUAUGAUUUUACCACUUGUUCCUGUUGGAAUUUUACUUUUACUGUGGUCCACUGCAUCCUUAUUAAUGUAGUUCCAGCUUACAACUAAUUCUGAAUGGGACACACUAUUUUGAUAUGUUUGGAAAGAUCUCCUUAUGCCUUUAAAUAUCGCCACUUUUUUAAACUUUGCCAAGGUCAUAAUGGAGUAAAAGUAUUUCAAAAAUACCAGAGCUUUAUUAUUAAUGUUAUUUUACAAGUUAAAUUAUACAUUAAGGGUCAAGUUGGAAAUGAUAAGAAAUGAUGGUACAAGAUUCAGUAACAAGCCAUGGUUGACAGAGAAAAGUGUAAGUGGGUGCUCAUCUUAUAUGUUUCACAUCCCUCUAUCCACUACAUCUUUUUUUGAAGUGAAAUCGAUAUUACUGCUUAUAUAGUAAGUAUAUAUCCCUUGACACAAACAUAUGUGACAUAUGAAUAAAUGGAAGAGGCGAUGAAGAUAUGUUAAAACA
rnacentral:lncRNA from 1 species